GACGAACGCUGGCGGCGUGCCUAAUACAUGCAAGUUGAGCGCUGAAGGUUGGUACUUGUACCAACUGGAUGAGCAGCGAACGGGUGAGUAACGCGUGGGGAAUCUGCCUUUGAGCGGGGGACAACAUUUGGAAACGAAUGCUAAUACCGCAUAAAAACUUUAAACACAAGUUUUAAGUUUGAAAGAUGCAAUUGCAUCACUCAAAGAUGAUCCCGCGUUGUAUUAGCUAGUUGGUGAGGUAAAGGCUCACCAAGGCGAUGAUACAUAGCCGACCUGAGAGGGUGAUCGGCCCCCUUGGGACUUGGACACGGCCCAAACUCCUACGGGAGGCAGCAGUAGGGAAUCUUCGGCCAUGGACGAAAGUCUGACCGAGCAACGCCGCGUGAGUGAAGAAGGUUUUCGGAUCGUAAAACUCUGUUGGUAGAGAAGAACGUUGGUGAGAGUGGAAAGCUCAUCAAGUGACGGUAACUACCCAGAAAGGGACGGCUAACUACGUG
rnacentral:rRNA from 1 species